rnacentral:rRNA from 1 species
GAAUAACUCAGGGAAACUUGUGCUAAUACCGAAUGUGCCCUUCGGGGGAAAGAUUUAUCGCCAUUAGAGCGGCCCGCGUCUGAUUAGCUAGUUGGUGAGGUAAAGGCUCACCAAGGCGACGAUCAGUAGCUGGUCUGAGAGGAUGAUCAGCCACAUUGGGACUGAGACACGGCCCAAACUCCUACGGGAGGCAGCAGUGGGGAAUCUUGCGCAAUGGGCGAAAGCCUGACGCAGCCAUGCCGCGUGAAUGAUGAAGGUCUUAGGAUUGUAAAAUUCUUUCACCGGGGACGAUAAUGACGGUACCCGGAGAAGAAGCCCCGGCUAACUUCGUGCCAGCAGCCGCGGUAAUACGAAGGGGGCUAGCGUUGCUCGGAAUUACUGGGCGUAAAGGGAGCGUAGGCGGACAUUUAAGUCAGGGGUGAAAUCCCGGGGCUCAACCUCGGAAUUGCCUUUGAUACUGGGUGUCUUGAGUAUGAGAGAGGUGUGUGGAACUCCGAGUGUAGAGGUGAAAUUCGUAGAUAUUCGGAAGAACACCAGUGGCGAAGGCGACACACUGGCUCAUUACUGACGCUGAGGCUCGAAAGGCGUGGGGAGCAAACAGGAUUAGAUACCCUGGUAGUCCACGCCG